AGAGUUUGAUCAUGGCUCAGGAUUAACGCUGGCGGCGUGCAUACUACAUGCAAGUCGAACGGACCAACCUUGUGCUAGAGCUCGGGGACGGUAUGGCCGGGAGCUAUCUCGGGCGUGCCGUAAGCGAGGGAGAGAAUGAGGUUGGUCAGUGGCAAACGGGUGAGUAACACGUGGGUGACCUACCCUGAAGUGGGGGAUAACUGCUCGAAAGGGCAGCUAAUCCCGCAUGUGGUCCGUCACUGUGGUGGCGGAAGAAAGGCGUCUGAGACGUCGCUUUAGGAGGGGCCCGCGGCCUAUCAGCUAGUUGGUGGGGUAAAGGCCUACCAAGGCGAUGACGGGUAGCUGGUCUGAGAGGAUGGACAGCCACACUGGCACUGAGACACGGGCCAGACUCCUACGGGAGGCAGCAGUAGGGAAUCUUGCACAAUGGGGGCAACCCUGAUGCAGCAACGCCGCGUGGGGGACGAAGGUCUUCGGAUCGUAAACUCCUUUUCUGGGGGAUGAGAGAAGGACAGUACCCCAGGAAUAAGCCUCGGCUAACUACGUGCCAGCAGCCGCGGUAAGACGUGGGAGGCAAGCGUUAUCCGGAUUUACUGGGCGUAAAGCGCGUGUAGGCGGUGGUGUAAGUUGGGCGUGAAAUCUCCCGGCUCAACUGGGAGGGGACGUCUAAUACUGCAUCACUUGAGGGCAGUAGGGGGGAGUGGAACUCCCGGUGUAGCGGUAAUAUGCGCAGAUACCGGGAAGAACACCCGUGGCGAAGGCGGCUCCCUGGCCUGCUCCUGACGCUGAGACGCGAAAGCUAGGGGAGCGAUCGGGAUUAGAUACCCCGGUAGUCCUAGCCGUAAACGAUGGAUACUAGGCGUUGGUGGUACAAACCCAUCUGCGCCCAAGCUUACGCGCAAGUAUCCCGCCUGAGGAAUACGGCCGCAAGGCUGAAACUCAAAUGAAUUGACGG
rnacentral:rRNA from 1 species